rnacentral:tRNA from 1 species
GCACUGAUGGGUCAGUGGUAGAACUCUCAGCUUCCAUCUGACAGACCUCAGUUUGAUUCCUGGUCAGUGCC